rnacentral:rRNA from 1 species
GUGUCAGCCGCCGCGGUAAUACGGGGGGGGCAAGCGUUGUUCGGAAUUACUGGGCGUAAAGGGCUCGUAGGCGGCCACCUAAGUCCGACGUGAAAUCCCUCGGCUCAACCGAGGAACUGCGUCGGAUACUGAGUGGCUUGAAUCCAAGAGAGGGAUGCGGAAUUCCAGGUGUAGCGGUGAAAUGCGUAGAUAUCUGGAGGAACACCGGUGGCGAAGGCGGCAUCCUGGAUUGGUAUUGACGCUGAGGAGCGAAAGCCAGGGGAGCAAACGGGAUUAGAUACCCCUGUAGUCC